GUACUUGCCUCUUAAGCUCUAUGCAGUACAGAGCUCUUAGCUAAGGAUGGAAAAUGCUCCCUCACUGUCUUUUGAAGGAAAGCCAGCUAGGACCUUGGAGUGUUUGCCAGCUGUUUUUGUUGCACAUAUUUUACCCUGAAGAUAUUGAGAGCUGUAAUUACUUCCAAUGAUGCUGAAGUACCAUCCUCAUAGGAUCUUCUCUUGUGCAAGCCAACUAAAGUGAGAUUGAACAGAUAGCAUGUUACACAGCCCAUUGGACUGAGCCACUUAUCCAUAUUUUGGUAAGAAAGUUUUCAUCUGAGAAGAAAGCAUUGAACUGAUUGAUUACCUGACUGACUGAUUGCAUUUAUAUAUUGCCUCCCAUCCUGCAAGGGUUCCUAAGAUGAUGCACAACAAACAAGUGUUUAAAACAGUACUAAACUUUUAAAACAUAUUAAAUACGUUUUAAAAAUUGUUAAAAUCAGUUUUAAAACAAUCCCUAAAUAUAACAUUAAAAACAAACAAUUAAAGCAGAGCAGUUU